rnacentral:rRNA from 1 species
UCCACGCCGUAAACGAUGUCGACUUGGAGGUUGUUCCCUUGAGGAGUGGCUUCCGGAGCUAACGCGUUAAGUCGACCGCCUGGGGAGUACGGCCGCAAGGUUAAAACUCAAAUGAAUUGACGGGGGCCCGCACAAGCGGUGGAGCAUGUGGUUUAAUUCGAUGCAACGCGAAGAACCUUACCUACUCUUGACAUCCAGAGAACUUAGCAGAGAUGCUUUGGUGCCUUCGGGAACUCUGAGACAGGUGCUGCAUGGCUGUCGUCAGCUCGUGUUGUGAAAUGUUGGGUUAAGUCCCGCAACGAGCGCAACCCUUAUCCUUUGUUGCCAGCGGUUCGGCCGGGAACUCAAAGGAGACUGCCAGUGAUAAACUGGAGGAAGGUGGGGAUGACGUCAAGUCAUCAUGGCCCUUACGAGUAGGGCUACACACGUGCUACAAUGGCGCAUACAAAGAGAAGCGACCUCGCGAGAGCAAGCGGACC